rnacentral:rRNA from 1 species
UUGUGCAUAUCUAAUUAAGCGGGGGAAAAGAAACUAACAAGGAUUCCCUCAGUAACGGCGAGUGAAGCGGGAAGAGCUCCAAUUUGGUAUCGCUGCGUUGUGCGCAGUGAAUUGUAAUUUCAAGACAUGAGGGAGAGUGGAGGGAUGCGUUCAAGUCUCCUGGAAUGGAGCACCACAGAGGGUGACAGUCCCGUCUGGACGUGAGUCUAGCGGAACUCAGGUCA